CAGCAGCCGCGGUAAUACGAAGGGGGCUAGCGUUGCUCGGAAUGACUGGGCGUAAAGGGCGCGUAGGCGGCGGCCAAAGUCAGGCGUGAAAUUCCCGGGGCUCAACCCCGGAACUGCAUCCGAUACUGCCAUGCUAGAGGAUUGGAGAGGUAGCUGGAAUUCUUGGUGUAGCAGUGAAAUGCGUGGAGAUCAAGAGGAACACUCGUGGCGAAAGCGAGCUACCGGACAAUAACUGACGCUGAGGCUCGAAGGCCAGGGUAGCGAAAGGGAUUAGAUACCCCCGUAGUCCCUGUCUCUUAUU
rnacentral:rRNA from 1 species